AUCAAAAUUUUUUAAAUAUUGAAAGCAUGAAUCGACCAUACCAAUUCCGGUUGUUAUUUUGAAUCAAACAUAUUAGUUUAUUUUAUCAUUCCAUUUUCGAUUCCUAUCCACUUUGAUUUUUAUUCCAAUUUAAUUUUUGAUUUUGAAUCAAACACGCCCUUAAUAGUCCAUAUCAUAUAGAAAAAUAAUUAUGAUUAAAAAUAUAAGGAUAAUGGACUGCGGUACUAAUAACUAGACUUAAGCAUUUUGGCUUAAUGAUUUGGGCCCAAUAAAUUAUUAGUAUUAAUGGCUCGGGUAAUUAUAUUUGGUAUCAAAGCCGAAUAUCAAUCAAAAGUGUGAGAGUCAAGGGUGCGUUUGGUUCGAGCUAUCUUUUAAAGAUUCCGAGUAAUCCAAUAGGAAUAAAAAAAUAUGACUGCGUUUGGCUAAACGCACUAAGUAAUCUAGUUGACAAUAUUGGAUUCACUUGGGAAUAAGAUUCACCCCAAAGUACUAAUCUCAUUCCUUUGAGGAAGGAUGGGUAUCCUCGUAUUAAUGGAUUUGAGUAAUUAUAAUAUGUCUAAUCUCUUUAUUUCUCCCUACUCGCCGGCUAAUUGAUAUUAUUUUCUUUACACUCUAACCUCAUAUUUCUCUCUAAACUUAUUUUUCUCUCUAAAAUUUUUUUUUUCUCUCUCUAAACUAAGCUUUUUCUCUCUCUUUCUAAAAUUUCAAUU
rnacentral:lncRNA from 1 species